AAAAAAAAGGUAGGGUGCUUUGAUGUGCAUGCACAGUAAAAUUAGUAUAGAGUUUUAAUACCUCUUCUGCUCCAUAGUCCUAUCAAUGUACAUCAUUCCUCCAUCCUCCCUCUCUCCUUCCUUCCCUCCCUCCCUCCCUCAUGCUGACUAAUCCUCUAAUACUCCGCAGUUUGAGUUCUCUCUGUAAUUUUAUUUUUUUCUGUUUGAAAAUAGUUGGAGCCCUUCUGAUUUCCUUGCUUUGUUAGUGCAUGUCCCUUCAAGUAAUGCUCCCUGACACAGCCAGGCUUUGGCACAGCACCAUCCCUUCCUCUAAGAUUCUGCUUCCCUAUGGGAUAGACCCUCUACUUCUGCACAUCUGCUUAGGUCCCUGAUCUCACGUGAGACCUGAUGCUACUGAAAGCUUCUCACCCAUCUAAUUCAUGCUUGCAUAUAAAAAAAUCUCUGUUCAUGAGCACAAUGUAUAUAUCUGAGUGAAUUAAGGUAACUUUCAUUCUGUAUGCCAUCUUCAGUUUUCUGUCUGAAAUGUAUAGAGGGUGCAGAUGGGAUAAAUUCAGAUUAUAUGAGAAUGUUUGGUGCUCUCAAGUGAAAAACAAAACAAAACAAAACAAAACCCAACAAGCUAAUAAUACUGUCAUCCUUAAAAGCUAAGGUUCUUUCCCAAGAGUCUCUGUCUAAAAAUAUCCCAAACUAAGGUCAUUAUUCAUUCUCUGUGCUGUCGUGAGUCACAUAAAAACUCCUGAAAAUCUAAGCAGGUAUGUGAAAUUUAGAAUAUCUAUGGAAGUCAGAUUGAACAGAAAAUAUUUCCACCUCAACUGCCACAGAGCUGCUGUUCUGCUGUAGCUUCCUAGGACUGAGCUGAGAUAAUGAAUCUCUCAAUCUUUUACUUAACUUUGAUGGCAACAAAUGAGUAACGCAAGGUCAAAUGGGAAUGCCAUUCAGCUGGUGCUGGCCCAUAACCAAACCCAGCCCUGCAGAAGGCAAGUUCCUUGCAGGAGGGUGGGGCUGCAGAACAGGAAGGAGCUGUUGUUUCCUGUUCCCUUGGCUAGUUGUUCCAUUCGGUGUGUCUGGCUAAAAGGAGAGAGUUUGGGAAAGCGAAGGGCGAUUUAGAAAAUUUCAAGUGCCUUUCUGUUCUUAUUGGUUUUAAAGGCUGUUACUGAUGAGUUGCAGCAGGAGCAGUCCAGGCUUGCCCAUGCCAUAGUGAGAUGGGAGGUGUGGGGAGAAGGUUGGUGAUCCCUGAGGGAUAUGCUGGGGGAACCAAAAACUCAAAGAACUGUUUAUGUAGGAAAAAGACAUCGUCUAGUUCAGAUAAAAGGCAUCAACUCAAAUGUGUGUGCUGGUGGCUGUAGGAAAAGAAUUUGGUACUCUGAGGAGUCACUCCUCAGUUUUGAGGGACAGCUGGGAGAGAAGCAAAUUACAUUCCUUCACAAGUUUGGAGCUUUUCACUUUACCCUUGUCAUGCAGGUGACCUAGAGAUUUAUCUUUGCACCAUCAAGGUGGUUUUUCAUCAGUCAAGAUCUAUGCAUUAUUUCUUAAAUGAAAGCAAAAAUCCUGUCCUUCUUUUACAGGAAGAACCAGCAGUGACUUCUUUCUCCAACAGUAGGGCUAAAUCCACCAGUCUGACAAGGCUGUGCUCAGCUGCAGGGAGGCAACAUCUCCAGGCUCUGGCCUAGGGCCCCAGUUUGGAAAGGACCUCACUGGAAACCAUUCUACUGAAAUCUGGUGCAACUCUGAUAAAAUGUCCCAGCCCAUCCUGUAAAGACUGUUACUGAAAAAUCUUGAAAUAAUCACAGGGGAAACAACAGGAACUCAGGCCUCCCUUCCCACCCAGGCGAGACACUCCCUGUCUCUUUUUCCCUCCAGCCCACUAAGCACGCAAGGAUCUGAUGGAAAGGGCAAGAGUUUCAGCAGCAGGAAAUCUGAGCCAGAGCCGCAGCAAGGGCUGGCUGAGACAGAGCUGCCCCUGUGCCAGUUGCGAGGCAGGAGGGCAGCAGGCUGCUGAGGUGGGGUUGCAGCAGUGUGUUAAGAGUACACACUAAACUUGUGGGAGUAUGGAAAUGUAGGAUCAAGUUCAGGGAUUGCAGUAGCAGACAAAGGAGGAACAGUUCCUUUGGCCUGAGUGACAUUUCACUUACAUGUGUUAGCUGUAAAUCUUAUCUGGAAUCAUGAGAGGCUUUAAUGUGGUUUUCCUCAUUUACGUUUAAGAACACAUCCAAUUAACAGAAAUACAGCAGCUGAAACGCCUGUUUUAUAAGAGGGCAGGGCUGAGCAGGUUAAAAAUGUAUAGAACUGAAGUAUAUUAGUCCCUGUUAAUGAGGCUUUCAGCUCUGCUGGCCCAAUCCAUGUAUCUCUUCUUGCAUCAGUGGAUUAGAUACAAAGGAUCCACUCUCACUAUUUUCAUCAAGCAGGUGAAGCUGUUGUGUUUGAUUUUUACCCUGUGGUUUCUAACAAGUCAGUUCCUGGUGAGACAGUCUGAAUUGGGCUCUUGUUUGAUACCAAGAAGGUAAUGAGGCUUGUACAAACUCCGCAUGCUCUUCUAUAUGCGCACAGAGUGGUGAUCUGCGGGCAUAUAUAGUGACAGUACAGGAAGUGAAGGUUUUAGGAGCUGUGUUCCUUACUCCCUUAGAUUCACUGGGAAAAACAAACAGAAAAACCUUUAAUCGGUGGAAUUAUACAGUCCAGUGACAGGAAGAUACAAAUGGGAAGUCUGAGGAGAUGAGAUGCCCUCAGCAAGGCUGUUUCAAGGCUUGGUGGCUGGCACGUACCCCCUCCUCCAAGCAUACUGCUGGUUGCUGGUGCCAUCAGCUUCUGUGCUGCCAGUCCUACAGCCUCAGCUCUAGUCUCAGGCAGCAGCUGGCCAGCGGGGUUUGGGUGGGUUUGCUCCCUGUACCUCUGCAUGGCUCUGGGAUUCGUAACUACAUUCCAGACUCUGAAAAAAGCAUCUAAAGCUUGUUCAGCUGUAUGGAGGAGCUGAAGUUGCCACAGGUCAGGGAAGGGACUGCCAAGGGAUCUGGACAGCCAUGGGAAAAGCUAUGGUGAAGAGGAACAAGCAGGCCUCGCUCCAGUCUGUGGGAGCCUGCACUCACUUCUGGCGUAAAUGACUUGAGGCAGGAACUGUCAUCCCUUGUGAGACACGGUGGGUGGUGCCGGCCACAUAAAAUACAUCUAAAUCCCAGCUCAGUCCAGACUGUAAAACUGGCUUAAAGUGAAAACAGAUUGAGACCAAGGGAAGGAGAGAGCUUCUUAGGCUGCAGACAGCCACCGUUUAGCAGCUCCCUCUGGGCCUGUGUGAGUGGGCCACCCUUGCUCCUGAGCCCCACUUUGCUCCUUGCCCGGUGCAGUGACGCAGCUCCUGUUAUAACUCGGGCAGUGAUGGGCAGCUGCAGCUGGGCCGGGAGCAGAGAGCUUUGCUGGCACCGCUCCGUGCAGUGCCGCUGUCUGUAGCGCUACGCCAGCGCCUUAUGGAGACGUUGCCCCUUUUCAGCUGUUCGUUGCCGCUCCGAUGCCAGGGAUGCCCUCGGAUCUGCUGUCAGAUCAGGGCAGGCUCUGCGGGAACGCGCUAAUCCCCUUCAGGAAAGUUCCCGUGGCUCAGUUCAAAUACCCGGUUUGAACUGGUUAAUCUGACCCGGUCGGUCUGUCUGGCGGAGCACCGACACGCUCUGCGCUGCCGCGGGUGAAGGUCGGCUUGAGCUCAAGGGCGGUGACGGAGAGCAGCUGGUUCUGCUGCUUCCAAGAGAGACAUCUGCUCACAGCCUUAAAAUCAUUUAGCCCAAAUCCCGUGCAGUUCAGGGCUGUUUCCUGUGCAGCUUUUAGUGCAUUUUGUCCUUCCUUAGUUUAAAACAGGAUUUCUAUUGUUUGUCUGCUGAGGCUAGUAAAAGCUAGGAGGAUAUUCCUCUUAAAUUACCCCUUUAUAUCUAAUUAUAUACCUGGGUAGACAAGUAGUUUGUCCUAAAGAUGCAGAUGGGGUAAAUAUGGGACUGUGUCUGAAUUCUGCAGAGUAACUCACAGAUGCCAUUUUCAGCACGAGCUGUUUUUGCUGCAGCACAGUUCAUCUUGCUCAGGAGAAAUUUCAGGAAGUUGUGCAGAGCAAAAGGUUGCAGCUUGGCUUCUCAUUGUUUUUAUUUCUCCUACUCUUACAUUAAGCAGAAAAACAAGGGAAAAAAUCCUCUCCCUGAGACUCAUUCCCAUGUUUCUCAUGAACUCAGAGUUCCUCUGCCUGGAAUCAAACAUCUAUGAAAUGAAAACUGAAGGAAUAGAGAAUGCACUGGGGAAAGGCCGUGUUCAGUGCAGUGCACAUUUUUCAUGCUGGACUGAAGUUUAUUUCUCAUAAUUCCAAAACAUUUAAGGAAUCUCACUAACAUUUAUGCAUAAAUAACUUUCCAUGACAAACAGUAUCAAACUUCAGUGCUCAGGAAGAUUCACCUAAAACUGUUUUCAUAUAAAACAAAUUAAAUUUGGCAGUACUUUUUCCAGUCAUGUGCUGGUAAGUAUCCUACAUUCACAUUUUAUGCCACCUGAAAGCAGACUGCUUUGUGAACUGUUUGAAGGGUAAAGGAACUCUGUGUAGUCCCCUGCAUUUGGUUUAAGUAACUUUUCCCCUGCUGUGACUCCUCCUUCCUUCUAGCUGCUCUGCUGGUUUAUGUGCUCAUAGGAAUCAUUAGACUAAACUCUUUCUGCCAGGUACUGGGCGUAUACUCAUUUUAAUUGAUAGUGUAUGACAGUCUCUAGACUUCUCAUAUGCUAGUGGUGAACUCCUUUCUGUCAGCCCUUUGAUGGGCUUGGUAGCUCCUGGCAGCAAGGUGGAGUGAAGUGCUAGUGGCAAUAGUUCCCUAUUCAGGACCUGGGUAUACAUCUUGUGUUGGAGCACAAGGAUUAUGGGGACUGGCUGAGGGAACUGGGAUGGUUCAGUCUGGAGAAGAGAAGGCUCAGGGCAGACCUCACCACUCUCUACAACUGCCUGAAAGUUGUGGCAAGGUGGGGGUUGGCCUCUUCUCCCAUGUAACAAUGAAAAGAUGAGAAGGGAUGACCUCAAAUUGCACCAGGGGAGGUUCAGGUUGGACAUAGGAACAAUUUCUUCUCAGAAGGAGUGGUGAGGCACUGGCACAGGUUGCCCAGGGAGGUGGUGGAGUCACCAUCCCUGGAGGUGUUCAAGAAAUGUGGAGAUGUGGCACUGAGGGACAUGGAUUAGUGGGCAUGGUUGGGAUGGGCUGAUUGUUGGACUAAGUAGUCUUAGUGAUCUUUUCAGUAUUUAUGAUUCUAUGAUUCCGUAUGGGGAGGUAAAGGCAAGAAAUUUGGGAUAUUGCAGACAGAAGUAUGGGUGCAGUUAUUGUUGCUCUCGGUAGAACUUAGCUUCCCAUAGAUAAACGAGCAACCCAGAGCCUAGGAAACAAAUGAGCACAUUUGGUAUGUGCUGUGUAGGUGUCCAGAAUUAUCCUUCGCAGCCUGUGCAUAUCAGGUAGAAUUAGUGGUCGCACUGAGAUGGACUUGAGAGCAUGUGCCCUUCAAGACUGAUGCGUUGGAAUGCUUUGGAUUUACCAUGCAAGACUGGUGGUGCUUCAUCUCCUGGCCUGGGACGACAUCUGGCUGGCAUGUUCUUCUCCACACUCCAGGAAGAGGACUCUUGUUAGUUGGUUACUGCAGUUCUCAGCAUUAAAACAUACUGAAUCAGACUGCAAAGUAGCAUGAGACUGAUUUAAAAAUAAAGAGAUUUAUGUAUUGAGUUGA